GAAAAACACCGGUUCUCGUUCGAUCACCGAAGUUAAGCAUCGUAGAGCCAGGUCAGUACUUAGAUGGGGACCGCUUGGGAACACCUGGUACUGUAAG